AUGCUCCUGCCGGCCGCCGGCUUCCGGAACGAGGCCCAGCCCCAGACCCUGGACCGGCGCCGCUCGUCGGCACCGACGCCGCCGGCCACGGACCGCGAGCGCCCGAUCCGGCGCUCCCGCUCGAUGAGGCUGCAGACCCGGCCAACGGAGGCGGAGGACGCCGAGGAUGAGGGGGAGGAGGGGGAGGCGCAGGGGCAGGGGCGCGUCCGCGCGCAGUCGGGGCAGAGGCGGAGGAGGCGGUCGCAGAGGCAGUGCGGGCACACGCCGCCGCAGGGCGCUGGCGGGUGCUUCCGGCAGCGCGAGUCGUCGCCGGGCAUGCCCAUGUGUGCGCCGACCGGUCGAUCCCUCCGCGCCGUCCGUCCGUCCGUCCGUUCGGUUGCGGUGGAUCCCGCUGGCGCUCGCGGUUUCGGAGGGAGAGGGAGUUUUUUUACGGAGAGAGGGAGGGAGUUGCGGCGUUCGUUCGUUGGCUCGGCUCUAGAGACGCGGGGAAGCAGAGGGUGCGUCUCUCUUAUAAGCGGGGCCGGGGCCCACGGAGUUUCUCCGGUGAACGGCGUUUUGGUGCACCGCACCGGUUUUCUUCCGGUGGGUUUUCCAUCUUGCCAACAACCAUUGCAGGGGGAUAAGAUGAUGCGCUGGACGCUAUAUCUCGAGCUCGAAUUGUCGUGGUAUGUAAAAUGGUGA
rnacentral:rRNA from 1 species